UAGGAGAUCAUUGCAUCCUCUCCAGAGUAUGAGAGCAGCACUUGUUCUGGGGGGUGUGGAGGGGCUAACCCCUCCUUGUUCUUUAGAUAUCAUCUCUCGGGAACCUUCUCUGGUCUCUGUUCCCACAGACAGCCCAGUGAAAUGUCCCUACAAGGAGGUGCUCACAGCAGCCUGUUUCUUCCAUCCCAGACCUUCCUAUGCCAUGUGAGUUAAAGGUCUCAAGAUUCACAUCUUAGAUCCACCUCACCCUAAAGGGCACAACUGUCACAAGUUCAGAAGUGACACACCUUUUUAAAACCAUGCCAGGUAUGCAGGAGGACUGGUCAAACGGAGGGGUGGACUCAACCAGCCACCGUAGCUCCCCAUUAUCUGAAGCAGCUAACAGGACCAGUGUUUGUUCCCAGACCUGGAAUAUAAUGGCUCGUGAUUCCUCAAUUAAAGGACACGUACGCAAUCAACUCGGUCUGAGAAGAGCCUUCAGCUUCAUGUCCAGAUGAAAGAGGAGGACAGACUUUUAAAUGGGAGAGUUCAUUGAAAGAGAAGAGUUUUCAGUGACCAGAGAGAGAGGUAACCUUUCCUUGCUGCUGGAGCAGACUGAGAGGUGGAGGAGGAGGGAGAGCAAGGGGACCACCACACCCUCUCUUCCCUGAGAUGCUGCCCUGAGCAGAGAGAAGGGGAGAGCUUGAGGAUUAGAAUGGGAGGAGGGUGAUAUUUUAAAUUAAAUGGCACUGGGUGUUUACAACUCUCAAAGUAAAAGUGAGGCUGAGAUGUUGAUGAGUCAGAAAUGGCAAUGCAACUUCAGUAAAAUAAAGCCAUUCCCUGUUUGCACCCCAGCAGGCCAGCCUGCUCAAUAGACCUACUCAAUUUUCUUCAGCCCCAGGAGACUCUGCCUACCCUGAGGGAUGCUUCUUACUCCGUGUUUAUUCCAGACUAUCUAUGUCUGACCUAAGAGCACAGACUUUGGGAGGAUAGAGUCAGUCUGACUUAGAGGUUACGCUACUCAACCGCCUGCUCAUCCUUCCCAAGGGGAAAUGAACCAGGGCCAACCCCAGCCCAGACAGGAGGCUGAAAAAAUGGAAAACGCAGGAAGGAAAAAAUGUGUAGAGACUAUUCUUGCAAAACCUUCGCCCAGAUAAAGAGCUCAAAACCAAAAAUAAUCGGAGAUCAGAAUGGUAAAGAGGAGGGCCACUUGAGCCAGAAGGCAACAUUAGCUUCCUCGCAUCCUCAGGCGAACAGGGGUCAGACAAUUCCUUCAGCUCAUAUAUGGCCUUAGACUAGUCAGGGCACAUCUAUCCAAGGCUUCGGUUUUCCUGGCUGUCAAAAUAGACAGCAGCAGCUUGUUCCAGCAACCUCACACAAGUGGCAUGGAGUCAAAUGUGAUUGCAUGGCCUGAAAUGAAACAGAAACUCUGAAAACUGCAUAAAGCCACUCUACCCAGAAUAUUCCCAGUCGUCAUCUGCUAAUUACUGAGGCCCCUCUGGAGACUGGUUACCUCUGUAAUUCUCCUAAGGAUAUAUUUAGGCUAUUCUUGUUUUGUGACUAU